UUUCUCAAUCACUCAAUGCCUUUUCUUUGACUGCCAUUCAUUAAUUAAUGCUAUACUUUAAUGCGGUACAGUCCGUAUGUAAACAAGGCUUUGUUUACAUUUCGGUAUCCAAAAUAUUGAAUUUUAUUCCACAACUAGUUAUAUUUUCAUGAUUCUAUAAAUUAUCAAGAGAUAACAAUCAAGCUUUGCAAGAACAUAAAAUGAAAUAAAAACCUAAAUAAACUGUUUGUAAAUAAAAAGAGGGCUCCUUUGUGCACAUGCACAGAUUGGACUGUACAUGCCGCAUCUUUAAUAGUAAUAAAGUCUCUGGUGUAGGAAAAUGCUACGACUGUUAAAUAAAGUUUAACUAUAUUUUCCGUACAGUUUCUGUGCAGAGUUCGAGGGUUGAACUUCACGAAAAAUCACAGCAUUUUCCAACAAUGCCGACAUUUUGCUGGUGUAGUGUUUUAUAAAAAUCCGAUCAAAUAUGCUCAGGAAUAUAUUUGCUACUUUAUAGUUCUCACAAUUUUAUAGCUGCUCACACAAACGAGGAAUCAAGCCAUAGAAAAACAUUCUAAAAGUUUAUCUUGAUUGUUCCUUGGACAGAAUGUUGUGUAAAGUGGCCAUGCAAAGCAUCGAACAAAACAUCAGUAGAGGAAACAGUAGCCAAACUGACCUCAAUCAAUGUAAUAUAAUCAAGCGACGUCCUCUAAUAGUCAACGCAGCACGAGUUUUGUCUCUCCCUUUAAUACUUUAUAGACUUGCACACUAUCUCUCACUGACUAAAAGGAAAAACCCUCUCGCCAUCAAUUUCUUGUAUAGUUUCGGUGAAUUCAGCGUCUGUUUCGUCUAACUGUAUUUCUGUUAGAGCAACAGACACAUCAAAGUUGUAUAAAUCCUCUGCGGUUGCAUCGUCUAGUUGCGAUAAAUGUCUUCGCCCUUCGUCCUCUUAUGCCUCGAUCAUAAACUGUUCACGACGCUCGCUUUCUUCGAUAUUUUCAUCUCCAACGUUCAAAAUAGGUUCGUAUGUUUGUUCGCUUUCUGUUUCAAUUUCCAUCUUGAUCUCAGAAGCCCUAUAGCGUUUUGAAAUAUGAUCUUUUGUUGGCAUAUUAUGUUCUCGCCCAUAUGUUUUCCUAAUCACUCAU